CCUACGGGGGGCAGCAGUGGGGAAUAUUGGACAAUGGGCGAAAGCCUGAUCCAGCCAUGCCGCGUGUGCGAAGAAGGCCUUCGGGUUGUAAAGCACUUUCAGUGGGGAAGAAAGCCUUGGGGCUAAUACCCUCGAGGAAGGACAUCACCCACAGAAGAAGCACCGGCUAACUCCGUGCCAGCAGCCGCGGUAAUACGGAGGGUGCGAGCGUUAAUCGGAAUUACUGGGCGUAAAGCGCGCGUAGGUGGUCUGAUAAGCCGGUUGUGAAAGCCCCGGGCUCAACCUGGGAACGGCAUCCGGAACUGUCAGGCUAGAGUGCAGGAGAGGAAGGUAGAAUUCCCGGUGUAGCGGUGAAAUGCGUAGAGAUCGGGAGGAAUACCAGUGGCGAAGGCGGCCUUCUGGACUGACACUGACGCUGAGGUGCGAAAGCGUGGGUAGCAAACAGGAUUAGAUACCCCGGUAGUC
rnacentral:rRNA from 1 species